GGAGUACUGGGACGAUUCCGCGGAGCCGGGCAGAGGUUUUAGGGGUGCGCAGGAGUCAAGUGGUGGUUCAGUGGGGACGGUGAGGUGGAGGACGAUCUGGUCGGAUAGCCGCGGGCACGAACCUGGGAACCAGAGGGUGGAGGCCAUGCUGGGGACUGAUGUAGGGCGGGACCGACUGGAAGCGGCAUCCAGAGGCCCAGUGAGCCUCGGUCUCAGCUCCUGAAGGGGUUGCAUGGGGCCCUACGCUUCCUUCUCCAUUUUUUAGCUAAGAGAUUGAGAGAGUCGGUUUACUUUUGGGCUUGGAGUAUCAUUUAGAUCUGUUAACAGUACAGUUGAGAGAGUUGGUGUCUUUUGUUGAGGUGCGAGGACCCGAGGCGGCGACCCUCGCCUUUAUUCGGAGAAGCCCACUUCCACCCACAGAGUUGGGGUAGUCCUCCGAAAUGCAUUUUUGUUUUGCCGUUUGUUUUCCAACCCCCUUUCACUCUCCCCAAAGCUUCAGAUUCACUGAUUUUUCAUACAGGAAUGAUUAACAAAGGCGUCCGAAGAAAUCGUUGUUGGAAGGUGACCAAGGUGGAAAGAGACGUUGCUUUGGCCCUGCAAGUAAGAAGAGAGAGGGAAUAGCCUGAAGGAGUAACACUAAAUUUAAAAUGACACUUUUUUACCAACCAGCGAAAGCAGAUGUUCAAAGGGGAUAUUGGCCAGGUGCGGUCGCUCACGCCUUUAAUCCCAGCACUUUGGGGGCAGACGCGGGGAGAUAGCGUGAUUCUAGGAGUUCAACCCCAGCCUGGGCAACAUGCGGAGACCCCGUACCGUCUCUACAAAAACAUUAAACAAAAAAAUUAGCUGGGCAUGGUGGUGUACCCCUGUAGUUGCAGCUACACUAGAGGCUGAGGUGGGAGGAUCGCUUGAGCCCGGGAUGUUGAGGCUGCAGUGAGCCUCGAUCCUACCACUGUGCUCCAGCCUGGGCGACAGCAAGCCCGUGUCUCAGAAAAGGCGGGAGGGGUGGGAUAUUAUUGAUGAUAGGCCUUCUGACGUCUGGCAAUAGAUUCCAGAGUAACAUCGGUCAUGGAUAAAUUUUUUUUUUAACUAAGUGACUGAAACCAAAGUUAAUUGUCUUUUGAGUGAUUUUGCACAGUAUCUCAAAAUGAACUGUACUUUUUUUCUUGUGUCACUGAAACAGUGCUGUGUGUUCUUUUUCAGAGUCUGUCACACUAAGAUGAGAAAUGUCCUUUCUUCCUGAAGGUGUCUGAUGUGUAAAAAUAUGAUAUACUUUGUGCUGUUUCCUCCCUUCCCUUUUGCAUAUUAUUCUGAAACAACAUUAACUAGUUACUUUGCGUCAUUGAAGGUAUGCACUUCCCCUCUAUGUUAGGAGUGAAUAAAAUUAAAAAUAGAUCCUUAUAACAAAGAAAGGCAGAUAGAAUGAUUAAAAAUGACCAAAACAUGUUAGAAACAGUCUCUCAGGUGUAUGCAGAUGGUAAUUACAAAAA
ensembl:lncRNA RAB30-DT RAB30 divergent transcript